CCCAGGCAGAGGCAGGGCUGCAUGCACAGUGAGUGGAAGGACGAGUUUAUGAGGCAGACAGAACUGAGCUCAGGUCUCAGCACCACCAUGUACAAACUUCUCUGCUUGAGCAAGUCCAUCUCUCUGAGAUUCAGCAUUUUUAGCCUCGAAUGACAGGGGGCAGAGAAGGGUAACUGUCCUCUGAUUUGUGCACCUCCUUCUGCAACAGAGCUGGAGAGGCUGCCCAGGCCUGGAAUGGCAUUUUUCAGUGCUCCCUGCUCUUAGGUGAUGGGUUCUCACCAACAGAAUGUGAGUGGAAGGGAUGUGUGUCACUUCCAGGCCCAGUGUGGUUAAGAAGCAGCUGUAUCUUCUCCAUCAUCUCUCUCAACUUUCUCCUAGAUGCAGAGUUCUAAGCCUGGGUCCCUGAAUCACCAUGUGGAGAGAAGCUGCCUGCCAACUAGAAUCACCAGCAUUGGAGUAUGCCCCUUCCACCAGUUGUGGGACUCCUGAGGCAGAAUCGCACCUGGUUCACUUCGGGCCUCAAGCACAGACCUGGAGUUGACACCCGAGCCCCGCUCCUGCAAGUGCUUUGGAACAUGAGUUCUCCGAAGGGAGCCAGGGGCUUCUGGGAGUGAAGCGGAUGUUCUCCUCCCGGGGGGACCAAAGGAAGCUGUAGGAUAACCAUGGUUUGAGCUACGACUGUGGGACUUGACAUUUAUUCCCUGUCUUCCAAUACCUUGUCGUGGGGGAAGAAGGACAUCUAUAGGAAUGAGACCCGUGCCACUGGGGCUUUGUGAGGGGGACUCCUGACAUCUUAGAGAUGCCCUGAAAGCCCGGAUACAGAGAAAUCUCCUGGGACACAACAAGUGCUCAGUGACUGAUGACGACUCCUGUGCUUCUGCUCUUCAGAUGGUUGAAUGAGUUUGGGACAUGUUGCAUUGUGGAGCAUUCUUCGAGAUUCAUGAUGCAGAGCGAGAUAAUACAGAUGCUGGUCACAUGGACAUAUUUUGCUUCUGGAAGUUGGGCUCUGAGCUUUCCUUGUCUCUGAACUCUCUCCAGUGCCAAUAGCUCAGGGUUUGUCACAUGAUAGACGCAUGCAUGUGUGUGCGUGCUAAGUUGCUUGCUUUAGUCGUGUUCAACUGUUUGCGAACCCAUGGACUGUAGCUGGCCAGCCUCCUCUGUCCAUGGGAUUCUCCAGGCAAGAAUAC